UGGGGAAUAUUGCACAAUGGGGGAAACCCUGAUGCAGCGACGCCGCGUGAACGAAGAAGGUAUUCGUAUCGUAAAGUUCUGUUCUAUGGGAAGAUAAUGACAGUACCAUAGAAGAAAGCUCCGGCUAAAUACGUGCCAGCAGCCGCGGUAAUACGUAUGGAGCGAGCGUUGUCCGGAAUUAUUGGGCGUAAAGGGUACGCAGGCGGUUUAAUAAGUCGAAUGUUAAAGAUCGGGGCUCAACCCCGUAAAGCAUUGGAAACUGAUAAACUUGAGUAGUGGAGAGGAAAGUGGAAUUCCUAGUGUAGUGGUGAAAUACGUAGAUAUUAGGAGGAAUACCAGUAGCGAAGGCGACUUUCUGGACACAAACUGACGCUGAGGUACGAAAGCGUGGGGAGCAAACAGG
rnacentral:rRNA from 2 species